CUAGAUUGGGCACGAAGAUCUGAAGAUAAAAGAAGAGACGCCGGAAGUACGGGCAGAUCACCCACAGCUCCUGAGGAAGCCCUGAUUAACGCUGGACAAAACUCGUAGAGCCAUUUGUUAAGCAGUCCAGAGACCUUACUACCACCACCGUUCCAGUUGCAAGUAUUUCUCAAUCCUGGGAGUCGCGACCAAGGGCUUUGCAUACUUUCUUUUUUCUUGUUGGUUUAGUGGUUUGUGCUGGGCAUUUGUUCCCUGGUCUUGUAAUAGUACUGCCUUAUUAUAUUGUAUAUACUUUUUCAUUGAGAGUUAUUAAUGUUUUAUUAUUGUGCAUUCCAAGUAUAUUCCCACAAUAAAGCUUUGAGA